AUUUGCAAAGUCUAAAAGCAAACUGAGCACCGUGAGACUGAGCCCGUGUCUUCUGAUCAUUCUGACUGUUUGUUGCUAUGAAAGAAGGUGACUUGAGUGAAUUUUCUGUCCCCAAUUGUCAGUGUUCUCUGAAUCUGUGAAUAAUGCAUUUCAACUAUGCUCUGAGAAUAAGCAUGUCUGUGUUAUCUCAUCAGCCUCCUGAGGGUCUACCAACAACAGGAUAGAAAUGCUAAUGCUGGCAAUGUCUGUGAUGCUGUUUUGGGCCUUCGUUCUAGGAAGUAAGGAAAACCUGAGGAAGGAACUUGAGCAAUAUUCUGUCCCUGCCGAGGCUGUUAAAGCAAAACUGGAGGUGAAGCGAUGUGUAGACCAGAUGGAUGUACGUUUCACUUAGAUGUGAGAAAGGAUGGCUGGCAGAAGAUAUUUUUGAUAUUCCAGGGGAAAGUAUUUGAACUAAUUUUCCCUGCUUAAUGUGAAGGUUUCAAUGUCUUGUACUAAUAAAUUACACUCCGUGCAUGC
rnacentral:lncRNA from 1 species